rnacentral:tRNA from 1 species
GAGGGUAUAGCUCAGUGGUCGAGUGCAUGCUUAGCAUGCACGAGGUCCUGGGUUCAAUCCCCAGUACCGCCA